rnacentral:lncRNA from 1 species
CUCAUGGACAGAUCACAAAACCCUGGCCUCAGAAGUUCUCCAAAAUUUGAGGAAUUCUUCAGCUUACAGCCAUCUGUGCUUUCCUCGACUCAUGAAAUUCUUCCUCUCCCAUAAUUCACCUGAAACUUUCUCCACUGGCAGACAGAUCUUCCUGCAUCAGGUCCGGUGCUGCCCCUGACAUGAAAUGCUCAAGAUUUCUAGACAUUAAACACUCUGAAGAAUUGAAAGGAAUGAUCCUGAGAAAGCAAAACACACCAAUAGCAGUUCCCAAGAGGAGUCAGUUUCAUGAGUUUUCGGGGCCAGGGGCUGCAGAAAAUUGUAAAGACUUCAAGAAAGCCAAGUCCUUGUUCCCAUCAGCAUGUCAACAAGGCAGUGGUGGAGAGCUGCUCACUCCAGGUGCUGCUACUAUGACAGAGAACCCUGGACCACUCCUACUGAUGCUGACUUACAGAGGAACUAGUUAGUUGGGCUUGUGGUUAAUUUGUUCUCCAUCUGGGGCAAGCUGUAUAGCCUGUAUAUCCAACUACAUCUCACAGGAGACAAAUAGACUGGACCUAUCCUUGCAAGUGUGUUGGGUGGGUCAGAUGUUUAACAUGAUCCCUAUAGCUAAUCUCUGGUAGAUUUAUUAUCUGAGUCUUACAACCCCUUGGUGUCUUGAAGACUAUAAUCUAUAAAAUGUGUGGUGAGUAAAACAACUAGCCAGAAUGCCAUUCCUAAUGUGUUAUUGGCCAGGAAGGCUCAGAAAAUCAUAAAUCUGAUGUGAAUUUAUAGUCGCAGACUUAAGUGUAGUCAAUGACAAGAUAGCCCUGUCAUUCUACUGACAGGGGAUUACCAACACACUGAGACUUACAUAUCUGGUCUAUUAUGAGUUAAAAGUAACACUGAAUUUAAAUUGCUCUUAACACAGGAUAUAUCUAAAUAUUCACUGUGUAUUUAUUUAUCUCUGCAGUUCAGAGCCUUUUCUGACCAGAGUCUUACAUUUCUGUGCUAACAGUUUAUUCUUUAGCAGUAAUGGUCUUUCUGGAGCCAUUUGAUUUGACUGUGCAGUGACACAUGAUAUUUGGAUAAACCAGGAUUUAUUUUCUCUUUAGCUCUGCACAUGGAAUUUGGUGACACGUUUACAAGAGAUCACCUGUGAUGAGGACAAAGGUCAGUGGAAAGCUGUUCAAACAGAGAUACUUGGCCUCAAGGAGAUCAUUUGAACCUCAACUCUUGACCUGUUCAUUGACUGUGUUUGCUAAUUGGGUCUUCAGUGCAAAGCAAGAAACAAUGCUCAGCUUUGCUAACUGUUUGUGUAGCCAGAACAUGAAAAUCAAUCUACUGAUGACCAAAAGGGCAUAGCAAACAACAUCCCUGUGGAGUUGGGUGUUUUUGGCCUUGGCGUUCCACAGAUGUGACCUGAGAACUCUCACAACCUACAUGAAGAUGCAAUUCACAUAAUUAAUAUGUUCACUGCAUGAAGAUUUUAUUCACCAUAAGUUGGGAUGGUGAGAGAUGGACAGAAAGCACAGAAGCCUGAAGCAAGUAGAAAUGUGACCUAUGAAA